UCAUUCAGGUUUCUCCGUCAAAAAGCGGAGACUAAGAGGGAAUCACGUGUAAAUCGUGAGCUGUCGCGCAACUGUGAUGCGGUGCAAUGCGGCCGACAAGAGACCAUUGGGCCCACGGGCCUGAGAAGGUGUCGACCGAUGCCAAAGAGCCAGGAUACCUGCCUUUAUGA
rnacentral:ncRNA from 1 species